rnacentral:rRNA from 1 species
CCAAUAGCGUAUAUUAAAGUUGUUGCAGUUAAAAAGCUCGUAGUUGAACCUCGGGAUCAAUGGAUCGGUCAUGCCAUCGGUAUGUACUGGUCUCAUUGGUUCUCACCUUCUAAGGAACCAUGAUGUCAUUCAGUUGAUGUUGUGGGGAAUUAGGACUGAUACCUUGAAAAAAUUAGAGUGUUUAAAGCAGGCUAACGCUUGAAUACAUUAGCAUGGAAUAAUGAAAUAGGACAUCGCAUUCUAUUUUGUUGGUUUCUAGGAUCGAUGUAAUGAUUAAUAGGGAUAGUUGGGGGCAUUAGUAUUCAAUUGUCAGAGGUGAAAUUCUUGGAUUUAUUGAAGACUAACUACUGCGAAAGCAUUUGCCAAGGAUGUUUUCAUUAAUCAAGAACGAAAGUUAGGGGAUCGAAGACGAUCAGAUACCGUCGUAGUCUUAACCAUAAACUAUGCCGACUAGGGAUCGGAUGAUGUUGAUUUUUUAAUGACUCAUUCGGCACCUUACG